UCUGGGAAUUUAUCCCGAGAUAUGGGCUGAACACUGAACAGUGUCUGGGCUGCAGGACAGAUUCCGACUUCUCUUUUGUUGUUACAAUGUGAACUUAAAAACGACCGUUUUGAAUCUUGGACUCCUCAUGAAAAUUUUAGGCCUAUAUCUUAGCUUUCCAUC
rnacentral:pre_miRNA from 1 species